AUUGAACGCUGGCGGCAGGCCUAACACAUGCAAGUCGAACGAGUGGCGUACGGGUGAGUAAUGUCUGGGCCACUGCCUGAUGGAUGGGGAUAACUACUGGAAACUGUAGCUAAUACCGCAUACCAUCAGAUGUGCCCAGUUGGGUUUGGCUUGUUGGUGGGGUAACGGCUCACCAAGGCGACGAUCCCUAGCUGGUCUGAGAGGAUGAACAGCCACACUGGAACUGAGACACGUUCCAGACUCCUACGUGAGGCAGCAGUGGGGAAUAUUGCACAAUGGGCGCAAGCCUGAUGCAGCCAUGCCGCGUGUGUGAAGAAGGCCUUCGGGUUGUAAAGUACUUUAAGCGGGGAGGCGUUACCAGCAGAAGAAGCACCGGCUAACUCCGUGCCAGCAGCCGCGGUAAUUC
rnacentral:rRNA from 1 species